CUGCCCUCAAGCACGGCUUGUGUGUUGGGUGUGGUCCCCCCGGGGACCUGCCCGAAAGGCAGUGGCGACGCCCGCCUAGGUCCUCGAGCGUAUGGGGCUUUGUCACCCGCUCGGGAAGGGUCUACGGGCGUUGGUCUUCCAUAAUUAUUUUCCACGG
rnacentral:misc_RNA from 1 species